AUUGAACGCUGGCGGCAUGCUUUACACAUGCAAGUCGAACGGUAGCAGGGUGCUUGCACCGCUGACGAGUGGCGAACGGGUGAGUAAUGCGUCGGAACGCACCGAGUAAUGGGGGAUAACGCAGCGAAAGCUGUGCUAAUACCGCAUACGCUCUGAGGAGGAAAGCGGGGGACCUUCGGGCCUCGCGUUAUUCGAGCGGCCGACGUCUGAUUAGCUAGUAGGUGAGGUAAGAGCUCACCUAGGCGACGAUCAGUAGCGGGUCUGAGAGGAUGACCCGCCACACUGGGACUGAGACACGGCCCAGACUCCCACGGGAGGCAGCAGUGGGGAAUUUUGGACAAUGGGCGCAAGCCUGACCCAGCCAUGCCGCGUGUCUGAAGAAGGCCUUCGGGUUGUAAAGGACUUUUGUCAGGGAGGAAAUCCUUAGCGCUAAUACCGUUGAGGGAUGACAGUACCUGAAGAAUAAGCACCGGCUAACUACGUGCCAGCCGCCGCCGUAA
rnacentral:rRNA from 1 species